rnacentral:lncRNA from 1 species
AUAGAGAACAUCGGCACAACAAUCAAAGAAAAUGGAAAAUGCAAAAGGAUCCUAACUCAAAACAUCCAGGAAAUCCAGAACACAAUGAGAAGACCAAACCUACGGAUAAUAGGAGUAGAUGAGAAUGAAGAUUUUCAACUUAAAGGGCCAGCAAAUAUCUUCAACAAAAUUAUAGAAGAAAACUUCCCAAACCUAAAGAAAGAGAUGCCCAUGAACAUACAAGAAGCCUACAGAACUCCAAAUAGACUGGACCAGAAAAGAAAUUCCUCCAGACACAUAAUAAUCAGAACAACAAAUGCACUAAAUAAAGAUACAAUAUUAAAAGCAGUAAGGGAAAUGGUCAAGUAACAUAUAAAGGCAAGCCUAUCAGAAUUACACCAGAUUUUUCACCAGAGACGAUAAAAGCCAGAAGAGCCUGGACAGAUGUUACAGAGACACUAAGAGAACACAAAUGCCAGCCCAGGCUACUAUACCCAGCCAAACUCUCAAUUACCAUAGAUGGAGAAACCAAAAUAUUCCACGACAAAACCAAAUUCACACAUUACCUUUCCAGGAAUCCAGCCCUUCAAAGGAUAAUAACAGAAAAAAAAAUACAAGAACAGAAACCACAUCCUAGAAAAAGCAAGAAGGUAAUCCCUCAACAAACCUAAAGGAAGACAGCCACAAGAACAGAAUGCCAACUCUAACAACAAAAAUAAUAGGAAGCAACAAUUACUUUUCCUUAAUAUCUCUUAAUAUCAAUGGACUCAACUCCCCUAAUAAAAAGACAUAGACUAACAGACUGGCUACACAAAUAGGACGCAACAUUUUGCUGCUUACAGGAAACUCAUCUCAGAAAAAAAGAUAGGCACUACCUCAGAAUGAAAGGCUGGAAAACAAUUUUCCAAGCAAAUGGUCUGAAGAAACAAGCUGGAGUAGCCAUUCUAAUAUCGAAUAAAAUUGACUUCCAACCCAAAGUCAUCAAAAAAGACAAGGAAGGGCACUUCAUACUCAUCAAAGAUAAAAUCCUCCAAGAGGAACUAUCAAUUCUGAAUAUCUAUGCUCCAAAUACAAGGGCAGCCACAUUCAUUAAAGAAACUUUAGUAAAACUCAAAGCACACAUUGAACCUCACACAAUAAUAGUGGGAGACUUCAACACACCACUUUCACCAAUGGAAGAUCAUGGAAAGAGAAACUAAACAGGGACACAGCGAAACUAACAGAGGUUAUGAAACAAAUGGAUUUAACAGAUAUCUACAGUACAUUUUAUCCUAAAACAAAAGGAUAUACCUUCUUCUCAGCAACUCACGGGACCUUCUCCAAAAUUGACCAUAUAAUUGGUCACAAAACAGGCCUCAACAGAUACAAAAAUAUUGAAAUUGUCCCAUUCAUCCUAUCAGAUCACCAUGGACUAAGGCUUAUCUUCAAUAACAAAAUAAAUAAUAGAAAGCCAACAUUCACAUGAAAACUGAACAACACUCUUCUCAAUGACACCUUGGUCAAGGAAGGAAUAAAGAAAGAAAUUAAGGACUUUUUGGAGUUUAUUGCAAAUGAAGCCACAACAUACCCAAACUUAUGGGACACAAUGAAAGCAUUUCUAAGAGGAAAAUUCAUAGCUCUGAGUGCCUCCAAAAAGAAACUAGAGAGAGCACACAUUAGCAGCUUGACAACACACCUAAAAGCUCUAGAACAAAAGAAAGCAAAUUCACCCAAGAGGAGUAGACAGCAGGAAAUAAUCAAACUCAGGGGCCAAAUCAACCAAGUGGAAACAAGAAGAACUAUUCAAAGAAUCAACCAAAUGAGGAGCUGGUUCUUUGAGAAAAUCAACAAGAUAGAUAAACCCUUAGCCAGACUCACUAGAGGGCACGGGGACAGCAUCCUAAUUAACAAAAUCAGAAAUGAAAAGGGAGACACAACAACAGAUCCUGAAGAAAUCCAAAAAACCAUCAGAUCCUUCUACAAAAGGCUAUACUCAACAAAAUUGGAAAACCUGGAUGAAAUGGACAAAUUUCUAGACAGAUACCAGGUAAUGUAAGACCCCCGAAGGGAGACCCUCACUCAAGCCUCGGGAUGUGGCGCGGACCCAAGAGAGACGAGGAGACUGAAAUGGCGUACACACAAAGCUAUUUAAUAAAGCGGGGGGGGGGGGGGAGCCAGCGCGCUGGGGCCGAGACUCGUACACCUCUGCAUAGGGUAGAGGAGUCUCGACCACGACUCAAAUUUUUUACAAGCUUUUAAAGGCAAAAACCACAAACUGGGAGGGGGAAUGGGGAGGGAAUAGGGGAAGUUUAACAACCACAAGUUUACUCAACCAAAGAGUCAUCCCUAUGUUUGGCAAUACACCUGGCCUGUUG